ACGAACGCUGGCGGCGCGCCUAACACAUGCAAGUCGAACGGAGUUAUUUUCUUCACUCCGAGCUUUUUGCCGGUUAGCCGGAGCGGCAAUCGGUUUUGCCCAGCAUAAAAAGCAAAACCGAUUUAGGCUCAUAAAGUAAGACUAACACAGAGGGCAGAGAGUUGGGAGUGAAGAAAAUAACUUAGUGGCGAACGGGUGAGUAACGCGUGAGUAACCUGCCCUGGAGUGGGGGACAACAGUUGGAAACGACUGCUAAUACCGCAUAAGCCCACGAUCCGGCAUCGGAUUGAGGGAAAAGGAUUUAUUCGCUUCAGGAUGGACUCGCGUCCAAUUAGCUAGUUGGUGAGGUAACGGCCCACCAAGGCGACGAUUGGUAGCCGGACUGAGAGGUUGAACGGCCACAUUGGGACUGAGACACGGCCCAGACUCCUACGGGAGGCAGCAGUGGGGGAUAUUGCACAAUGGGGGAAACCCUGAUGCAGCGACGCCGCGUGGAGGAAGAAGGUUUUCGGAUUGUAAACUCCUGUCGUUAGGGACGAUAAUGACGGUACCUAACAAGAAAGCACCGGCUAACUACGUGCCAGCAGCCGCGGUAAAACGUAGGGUGCAAGCGUUGUCCGGAAUUACUGGGUGUAAAGGGAGCGCAGGCGGACCGGCAAGUUGGAAGUGAAAACUAUGGGCUCAACCCAUAAAUUGCUUUCAAAACUGCUGGCCUUGAGUAGUGCAGAGGUAGGUGGAAUUCCCGGUGUAGCGGUGGAAUGCGUAGAUAUCGGGAGGAACACCAGUGGCGAAGGCGACCUACUGGGCACCAACUGACGCUGAGGCUCGAAAGCAUGGGUAGCAAACAGGAUUAGAUACCCUGGUAGUCCAUGCCGUAAACGAUGAUUACUAGGUGUUGGAGGAUUGACCCCUUCAGUGCCGCAGUUAACACAAUAAGUAAUCCACCUGGGGAGUACGACCGCAAGGUUGAAACUCAAAGGAAUUGACGGGGGCCCGCACAAGCAGUGGAGUAUGUGGUUUAAUUCGAAGCAACGCGAAGAACCUUACCAGGUCUUGACAUCCGAUGCAUAGUGCAGAGAUGCAUGAAGUCCUUCGGGACAUCGAGACAGGUGGUGCAUGGUUGUCGUCAGCUCGUGUCGUGAGAUGUUGGGUUAAGUCCCGCAACGAGCGCAACCCCUGUUUUCAGUUACCAGCACGUAAAGGUGGGGACUCUGGAAAGACUGCCGGUGAUAAAUCGGAGGAAGGUGGGGACGACGUCAAAUCAUCAUGCCCUUUAUGUCCUGGGCUACACACGUACUACAAUGGCUAUAACAAAGAGAAGCGAAGCAGUGAUGUGGAGCAAAACUCAAAAAAGUAGUCUCAGUUCGGAUUGUAGGCUGAAAUUCGCCUACAUGAAGCCGGAAUUGCUAGUAAUGGCAGGUCAGCAUACUGCCGUGAAUACGUUCCCGGGCCUUGUACACACCGCCCGUCACACCAUGAGAGUUGGGGAUACCCGAAGCCUGUGAGCCAACAUAUCUAUGAGGCAGCAGUCGAAGGUAGAAUCAAUGAUUGGGGUG
rnacentral:rRNA from 1 species